rnacentral:tRNA from 1 species
GGCCUCGUAGCUCAGUCGGGUCAGAGCACUGGACUCUUAAUCCAGGUGUCGCGGGUUCAAAUCCCGUCGGGGCCA